rfam:Triticum aestivum genome assembly, contig: Triticum_aestivum_CS42_TGACv1_scaffold_210629_3AS
CUAAUACUCCCUCCACCUGGAAAUACUUGUCGGGGAAAUGGAUGAAUCUAGACGUAUUUUAGAUGUAGAUACAUCCAAUUUUAUCCAUCUCUCCGACAAGUAUUUCGGGACAAAGGGAGUAGUGG